GAUGAACGCUGGCGGCGUGCCUAAUACAUGCAAGUCGAGCGAACGGACGAGAAGCUUGCUUCUCUGAUGUUAGCGGCGGACGGGUGAGUAACACGUGGAUAACCUACCUAUAAGACUGGGAUAACUUCGGGAAACCGGAGCUAAUACCGGAUAAUAUUUUGAACCGCAUGGUUCAAAAGUGAAAGACGGUCUUGCUGUCACUUAUAGAUGGAUCCGCGCUGCAUUAGCUAGUUGGUAAGGUAACGGCUUACCAAGGCAACGAUGCAUAGCCGACCUGAGAGGGUGAUCGGCCACACUGGAACUGAGACACGGUCCAGACUCCUACGGGAGGCAGCAGUAGGGAAUCUUCCGCAAUGGGCGAAAGCCUGACGGAGCAACGCCGCGUGAGUGAUGAAGGUCUUCGGAUCGUAAAACUCUGUUAUUAGGGAAGAACAUAUGUGUAAGUAACUGUGCACAUCUUGACGGUACCUAAUCAGAAAGCCACGGCUAACUACGUGCCAGCAGCCGCGGUAAUACGUAGGUGGCAAGCGUUAUCCGGAAUUAUUGGGCGUAAAGCGCGCGUAGGCGGUUUUUUAAGUCUGAUGUGAAAGCCCACGGCUCAACCGUGGAGGGUCAUUGGAAACUGGAAAACUUGAGUGCAGAAGAGGAAAGUGGAAUCCCAUGUGUAGCGGUGAAAUGCGCAGAGAUAUGGAGGAACACCAGUGGCGAAGGCGACUUUCUGGUCUGUAACUGACGCUGAUGUGCGAAAGCGUGGGGAUCAAACAGGAUUAGAUACCCUGGUAGUCCACGCCGUAAACGAUGAGUGCUAAGUGUUAGGGGGUUUCCGCCCCUUAGUGCUGCAGCUAACGCAUUAAGCACUCCGCCUGGGGAGUACGACCGCAAGGUUGAAACUCAAAGGAAUUGACGGGGACCCGCACAAGCGGUGGAGCAUGUGGUUUAAUUCGAAGCAACGCGAAGAACCUUACCAAAUCUUGACAUCCUUUGACAACUCUAGAGAUAGAGCCUUCCCCUUCGGGGGGGCAAAGUGACAGGUGGUGCAUGGUUGUCGUCAGCUCGUGUCGUGAGAUGUUGGGUUAAGUCCCGCAACGAGCGCAACCCUUAAGCUUAGUUGCCAUCAUUAAGUUGGGCACUCUAAGUUGACUGCCGGUGACAAACCGGAGGAAGGUGGGGAUGACGUCAAAUCAUCAUGCCCCUUAUGAUUUGGGCUACACACGUGCUACAAUGGACAAUACAAAGGGCAGCGAAACCGCGAGGUCAAGCAAAUCCCAUAAAGUUGUUCUCAGUUCGGAUUGUAGUCUGCAACUCGACUACAUGAAGCUGGAAUCGCUAGUAAUCGUAGAUCAGCAUGCUACGGUGAAUACGUUCCCGGGUCU
rnacentral:rRNA from 1 species